rnacentral:rRNA from 1 species
CCUGACCCAGACAAUGCCGCGUGAAGGACGAAGGCCUUCGGGUGGUAAACUUCUUUGAUCAGGGACGAAAGCAAUGACGGUACCUGAAGAACAAGCCACGGCUAACUACGUGCCAGCAGCCGCGGUAAUACGUAGGUGGCGAGCGUUAUCCGGAUUUACUGGGUGUAAAGGGCGUGUAGGCGGGCCGGCAAGCUGGAUGUGAAAUACCGUGGCUAAACUGCGGGGCGUCAUCCAAAACUGUCGGUCUUGAGUGUCAGAGGGGAAAGUGGAAUUCCUAGUGGAGCGGUAAAAUGCGUAGAGAUUAGGAGGAACACCGGUGGCGAAGGCGACUUUCUGGCUGGCAACUGACGCUGAGGCGCGAAAGCGUGAGGAGCAAACAGGAUUAGAUACCCUGGUAGUCCACGCCGUAAACGAUGAUUACUAGGUGUAGGUGGUAUCGACUCCAUCUGUGCCGCAGCUAACGCAUUAAGUAAUCCACCUGGGGAGUACGGGCGCAAGGUUAAAACUCAAGGAAUUGACGGGGGCCACACAAGCAGUG